rnacentral:lncRNA from 1 species
UGGGAAGCAAUACGAUGUUGUAAUGCUGGUUCGAUGCCCAGAACUGAAUGCUGUGCUCCAGCUGUGGCCUCACCGGUGCUGAAUAGAGAGGAAGAGCCACCUUCAUAGCUUACAUGUGAUUCCUCUGCUUAUACAACCCAAUACUGGAUUUACUUACUUUGGCAAGAUAGCUGCAUUGUGCACUGUAUUUAAUGUUACGUGUACUGUAACCCUGGGUCUUUCUCUACAUUGCUGCCGUUAAACCCCCAAUCCUGCCAAUCUAAAACUCCUGCCUUUGUUUACCUUCCCCCUCCCCCAUAGACUCCCCAUACAUUCAUCCACAAUGAAUGUCAUCUUUUUAUUCUCUCAUUUCCUUUUACUCUAAUCUUAAACUUUGGCAAAACUUUCACUCUGUCCUAUAAAUUGUCAGUUGUCAGCCAUC